rnacentral:tRNA from 1 species
CGUGAUGUUCGAGUACUUAAUAGUAGGCAUGAUCUGUCACGUAGGUCGAUCGGUACCUUUGAUUGAUACUUAAAUAGAAGCUGAUUAAAUCGGUCUAGAUAUGAGUGUUGAUUUCAGCUCCUAAACUGUCUAGGUCACACCAAUCAAGGGUACUCUGGGCAUUAGCUCAGGUGGUUAGAGCGCACCCCUGAUAAGGGUGAGGUCCCUGGUUCAAGUCCAGGAUGGCCCAUUCGUUGUUGGGGGUUUAGCUCAGUUGGUAGAGCGCUGCUUUGCAAGCAGGAUGUCAGCGGUUCGAGUCCGCUAACCUCCACUGAUCUACCUCCUGUGAAUAAGCAAUGGAGGAAGUCUUGUUGAUGUGAUUUAGAUUAUUUUGCUGACUAGACCCUAGCUUCCUAUCAUCCAAAAUUUCAAAUGCUUUUUGUGAAUUUUGUUGAUAAGACGCUGGGCUCACUGUGGUUCACAAGAACUACAGAGAUGUUUGGCAGAACCUUGACAACUGCAUAGGUGAGUCUGGAAAGAAUAAAGCAUCUCAUGGAUGCAUUAUUCUUCUAAAUUAGUUUAGGUUGGCUGUGAACUCAAUUAACCUGAAUUGAUAUAUUAGAAUAGUGCUUAAUUCUUGAGUCAAGAGCUGAGACUCUAUAGCU